rnacentral:lncRNA from 1 species
UCUCAAACUCCUGGCCUCAGGUACAUUUAUUUUUAAAAAGCAGUUUUUCAGCCUCAGAUAUUUUGUUACAUAGACUCGUCUCAGGGCAGUAAUUCAUGAGAUUGAAAAUACAGGGCCGGGCAUGGUGGCUCACGCCUGUAAUCCCAGCACUUUGGGAGGCCAAGGCGGGUGGAUCAAGAGGUCAGGAGAUUGAGACCAUCCUGGCCAACACAGUGAAACCCCGUCUCUACUAAAAAUACAAAAAUUAGCUGGGCAUGGUAGUGGGCACCUGUAAUCCCAGCUACUCGGGAGGCUGAGGCAGGAGAGUGGCUUGAACCCGGGAGGCAGAAGUUGCAAUGAGCCGAGAUCGUGCCACUGCACUCCAACCUGGUGACAGAGCAAGACUCUGUCUCAAAAAAAAAAAAAAAAAAAAAAAAAAAGGCCAGGAGCAGUGGCUCAUGCCUGUAAUCCCAGCACUUUGGGAGGCCGAGGUGGGAGGAUAACUUGAGGCCAGGAAUUCGAGACCAGCCUGGCCAACGUGGUGAAACCCCAUCUCUACUAAAAAUACAAAAAAGUAGCCAGGCGUGGUGACAGGCACCUGUAAUCCCAGCUACUCAGGAGGCUGAGACAAGGAGGAUCGUUUGAACCUGGGAGGCAGAGGUUGCAGUGAGCCAAGAUCGUGCCACUGCACUCUAGCCUGGGCAACAGAGCGAGACUCCAUCUCCAAAAACAAAAAAAGAAAA